rnacentral:rRNA from 1 species
AAGCGGGAAGAGCUCAAAUUUAUAAUCUGGCACCUUCGGUGUCCGAGUUGUAAUCUCUAGAAGUGUUUUCCGCGUUGGACCGCACACAAGUCUGUUGGAAUACAGCGGCAUAGUGGUGAAACCCCCGUAUAUGGUGCGGACGCCCAGCGCUUUGUGAUACACUUUCAAUGAGUCGAGUUGUUUGGGAAUGCAGCUCAAAUUGGGUGGUAAAUUCCAUCUAAAGCUAAAUAUUGGCGAGAGACCGAUAGCGAACAAGUACCGUGAGGGAAAGAUGAAAAGCACUUUGGAAAGAGAGUUAACAGUACGUGAAAUUGUUGGAAGGGAAACGCUUGAAGUCAGACUUGCUUGCCGGAGCUUGCUUCGGUUUGCAGGCCAGCAUCAGUUUUCCGGGGUGGAUAAUGACGGUUUGAAGGUAGCAGUCUCGGCUGUGUUAUAGCUUUCCGUUGGAUACGCCCUGGGGGACUGAGGAACGCAGCGUGCUUUUUGCGAAAGACUCGUCUUUUUCACGCUUAGGAUGCUGGUGGAAUGGCUUUAAACGACCCGUCUUGAAACACGGACCAAGGAGUCUAACAUGCUCGCGAGUAUUUGGGUGUCAAACCCGGAUGCGCAAUGAAAGUGAAUGUAGGUGGGAACCGCAAGGUGCACCAUCGACCGAUCUGGAUUUUUUAAGAUGGAUUUGAGUAAGAGCGCGUAUGUUGGGACCCGAAAGAUGGUGAACUAUGCCUGAAUAGGGCGAAGCCAGAGGAAACUCUGGUGGAGGCUCGUAGCGGUUCUGACGUGCAAAUCGAUCGUCAAAUUUGGGUAUAGGGGCGAAAGACUAAUCGAACCAUCUAGUAGCUGGUUCCUGCCGAAGUUUCCCUCAGGAUAGCAGAAACUCACAUCAGUUCUAUGAGGUAAAGCGAAUGAUUAGAGGCCUUGGGGUUGAAACAACCUUAACCUAUUCUCAAACUUUAAAUAUGUAGGAAGUCCUUGCUACUUAAUUGAGCGAGGAC